AUGGCUAAAGCUAGCGGUAGAAAACGGAAGAAACAUAAGAUUUUAUUAUCUCUACAACAAGAGGAGGGUUUGAUUGUAGGGGAUGAUAACAUACUACUUAAGCAUGCCAUUAAAUACCCUAGAGAGCUCUUUGGUCCAGAGGCUAGUGUUAUUAAUGUCUCUUUAGAUGUUCCUUCACAAUGUGUGCUUGAUGAUAUCGAUAAGCAGUUGCUGAUCAAACCUUUUACAGUUGAGGAAGUAAAACAUGAUGUUUUCCAGAUGAAACAUAAUAAAUCCCCAGGUCCUGAUGGGUUUCCCAGAGUUUUUCCAGCAUUUCUGGGACUUGAGUUGUGA
rnacentral:rRNA from 1 species